rnacentral:rRNA from 1 species
UACGGAGGGUGCAAGCGUUAUCCGGAUUCACUGGGUUUAAAGGGUGCGUAGGCGGGUUGGUAAGUCCGUGGUGAAAUCCCCAAGCUUAACUUGGGAACUGCCGUGGAUACUAUCAGUCUUGAGUACCGUGGAGGUCAGCGGAAUAUGUCAUGUAGCGGUGAAAUGCUUAGAUAUGACAUAGAACACCAAUUGCGAAGGCAGCUGGCUACACGAAUAUUGACACUGAUGCACGAAAGCGUGGGGAUCAAACAGGA